UACAGAGGGGGCAAGCGUUGUUCGGAAUCACUGGGCGUAAAGGGCGCGUAGGCGGUUUCUUAAGCGUGUGGUGAAAGCCCGGAGCUCAACUCCGGGUCGGCCGUGCGAACUGGGAGACUGGAGCUUGAUCAGAGGCAGGCGGAAUUCCGGGUGGUAGCGGUGGAAUGCGUAGAGAUCCGGAAGAACACCGGUGGCGAAGGCGGCCUGCUGGGACAGUGCUGACGCUGAGGCGCGACAGCGUGGGGAGCAAACAGG
rnacentral:rRNA from 1 species